rnacentral:piRNA from 1 species
UAUCACCAGGACACUGUGAAUUGAGGU